rnacentral:rRNA from 1 species
UACGUAGGGCGCAAGCGUUGUCCGGAAUUAUUGGGCGUAAAGAGCUCGUAGGCGGCCUGUUACGUCUGCUGUGAAAUCCCGGGGCUUAACCCCGGGCGUGCAGUGGAUACGGGCAGGCUGGAGGCAGGCAGGGGAGAACGGAAUUCCCGGUGUAGCGGUGAAAUGCGCAGAUAUCGGGAGGAACACCGGUGGCGAAGGCGGUUCUCUGGGCCUGUACUGACGCUGAGGCGCGAAGGCGUGGGGAGCGAACGGG